UAGGGAAUCUUCGGCAAUGGACGGAAGUCUGACCGAGCAACGCCGCGUGAGUGAAGAAGGUUUUCGGAUCGUAAAGCUCUGUUGUAAGAGAAGAACGAGUGUGAGAGUGGAAAGUUCACACUGUGACGGUAUCUUACCAGAAAGGGACGGCUAACUACGUGCCAGCAGCCGCGGUAAUACGUAGGUCCCGAGCGUUGUCCGGAUUUAUUGGGCGUAAAGCGAGCGCAGGCGGUUAGAUAAGUCUGAAGUUAAAGGCUGUGGCUUAACCAUAGUACGCUUUGGAAACUGUUUAACUUGAGUGCAAGAGGGGAGAGUGGAAUUCCAUGUGUAGCGGUGAAAUGCGUAAAUAUAUGGAGGAACACCGGUGGCGAAAGCGGCUCUCUGGCUUGUAACUGACGCUGAGGCUCGAAAGCGUGGGGAGCAAACAGGAUUAGAUACCCUGGUAGUCCACGCCGUAAACGAUGAGUGCUAGGUGUUAGACCCUUUCCGGGGUUUAGUGCCGCAGCUAACGCAUUAAGCACUCCGCCUGGGGAGUACGACCGCAAGGUUG
rnacentral:rRNA from 1 species